rnacentral:rRNA from 1 species
AGAGUUUGAUCCUGGCUCAGGAUGAACGCUAGCUACAGGCUUAACACAUGCAAGUCGAGGGGCAGCAUGGUCUUAGCUUGCUAAGGCCGAUGGCGACCGGCGCACGGGUGAGUAACACGUAUCCAACCUGCCGUCUACUCUUGGACAGCCUUCUGAAAGGAAGAUUAAUACAAGAUGGCAUCAUGAGUCCGCAUGUUCACAUGAUUAAAGGUAUUCCGGUAGACGAUGGGGAUGCGUUCCAUUAGAUAGUAGGCGGGGUAACGGCCCACCUAGUCUUCGAUGGAUAGGGGUUCUGAGAGGAAGGUCCCCCACAUUGGAACUGAGACACGGUCCAAACUCCUACGGGAGGCAGCAGUGAGGAAUAUUGGUCAAUGGGCGAGAGCCUGAACCAGCCAAGUAGCGUGAAGGAUGACUGCCCUAUGGGUUGUAAACUUCUUUUAUAAAGGAAUAAAGUCGGGUAUGCAUGCCCGUUUGCAUGUACUUUUUGAAUAAGGAUCGGCUAACUCCGUGCCAGCAGCCGCGGUAAUACGGAGGAUCCGAGCGUUAUCCGGAUUUAUUGGGUUUAAAGGGAGCGUAGAUGGAUGUUUAAGUCAGUUGUGAAAGUUUGCGGCUCAACCGUAAAAUUGCAGUUGAUACUGGAUAUCUUGAGUGCAGUUGAGGCAGGCGGAAUUCGUGGUGUAGCGGUGAAAUGCUUAGAUAUCACGAAGAACUCCGAUUGCGAAGGCAGCGUGUUAAGCUGCAACUGACAUGAAGGCUCGAAAGUGUGGGUAUCAAACAGGAUUAGAUACCCUGGUAGUCCACACGGUAAACGAGGAAUACUCGCUGUUUGCGAUAUACGGCAAGCGGCCAAGCGAAAGCGUUAAGUAUUCCACCUGGGGAGUACGCCGGCAACGGUGAAACUCAAAGGAAUUGACGGGGGCCCGCACAAGCGGAGGAACAUGUGGUUUAAUUCGAUGAUACGCGAGGAACCUUACCCGGGCUUAAAUUGCAGAUGAAUUACGGUGAAAGCCGUAAGCCGCAAGGCAUCUGUGAAGGUGCUGCAUGGUUGUCGUCAGCUCGUGCCGUGAGGUGUCGGCUUAAGUGCCAUAACGAGCGCAACCCUUGUUGUCAGUUACUAACAGGUCAUGCUGAGGACUCUGACAAGACUGCCAUCGUAAGAUGUGAGGAAGGUGGGGAUGACGUCAAAUCAGCACGGCCCUUACGUCCGGGGCUACACACGUGUUACAAUGGGGGGGUACAGAGGGCCGCUACCACGCGAGUGGAUGCCAAUCCCCAAAACCUCUCUCAGUUCGGACUGGAGUCUGCAACCCGACUCCACGAAGCUGGAUUCGCUAGUAAUCGCGCAUCAGCCACGGCGCGGUGAAUACGUUCCCGGGCCUUGCACACACCGCCCGUCA